GGGGGCUGUGGCUCAGUCACAUAGCAUCUGCUUUGCAUCCGGAGGGGCCCAGGUUCAAUUCCCGGUAUCUCCA
rnacentral:tRNA from 1 species